rnacentral:rRNA from 1 species
CUUUUACAAUGAAGAGUUUGAUCCUGGCUCAGGAUGAACGCUAGCUACAGGCUUAACACAUGCAAGUCGAGGGGCAGCAUUUUAGUUUGCUUGCAAACUAAAGAUGGCGACCGGCGCACGGGUGAGUAACACGUAUCCAACCUGCCGAUAACUCGGGGAUAGCCUUUCGAAAGAAAGAUUAAUAUCCGAUAGUAUAUUAAAACCGCAUGGUUUUACUAUUAAAGAAUUUCGGUUAUCGAUGGGGAUGCGUUCCAUUAGUUUGUUGGCGGGGUAACGGCCCACCAAGACUACGAUGGAUAGGGGUUCUGAGAGGAAGGUCCCCCACAUUGGAACUGAGACACGGUCCAAACUCCUACGGGAGGCAGCAGUGAGGAAUAUUGGUCAAUGGACGAGAGUCUGAACCAGCCAAGUAGCGUGAAGGAUGACUGCCCUAUGGGUUGUAAACUUCUUUUAUAUGGGAAUAAAGUAUUCCACGUGUGGGAUUUUGUAUGUACCAUAUGAAUAAGGAUCGGCUAACUCCGUGCCAGCAGCCGCGGUAAUACGGAGGAUCCGAGCGUUAUCCGGAUUUAUUGGGUUUAAAGGGAGCGUAGGUGGAUUGUUAAGUCAGUUGUGAAAGUUUGCGGCUCAACCGUAAAAUUGCAGUUGAAACUGGCAGUCUUGAGUACAGUAGAGGUGGGCGGAAUUCGUGGUGUAGCGGUGAAAUGCUUAGAUAUCACGAAGAACUCCGAUUGCGAAGGCAGCUCACUAGACUGCAACUGACACUGAUGCUCGAAAGUGUGGGUAUCAAACAGGAUUAGAUACCCUGGUAGUCCACACAGUAAACGAUGAAUACUCGCUGUUUGCGAUAUACAGUAAGCGGCCAAGCGAAAGCAUUAAGUAUUCCACCUGGGGAGUACGCCGGCAACGGUGAAACUCAAAGGAAUUGACGGGGGCCCGCACAAGCGGAGGAACAUGUGGUUUAAUUCGAUGAUACGCGAGGAACCUUACCCGGGCUUAAAUUGCAUUUGAAUAAUCUGGAAACAGGUUAGCCGCAAGGCAAAUGUGAAGGUGCUGCAUGGUUGUCGUCAGCUCGUGCCGUGAGGUGUCGGCUUAAGUGCCAUAACGAGCGCAACCCUUAUCUUUAGUUACUAACAGGU